GCUGAAGGUUUCAUCGGCACUUUCUUCAAUUACAACACCUCAUUGGGACUGCCAUAUCGGGCUUUGGUAGAUAUCAACUUCAUCAAUUUCUCUAUCCAGAAUAAACUGGACUUGGAGAAGGGAAUGAUGGACUGCCUAUAUGCAAAAUGUGAGUUUAGAAUCACUGGUUUCUUCAAUUUAAUGUGAAUAUUAAUUUGCUGCAAGAAUUGUUGUGCCGUGUUGAUGAGGUAUCCUAAGUUCAACAUAGUUGUUAAUGUGGUUUUAUAACAAGCAUUGAGUGCCAUGUAUCAUUGGCAAACACUUAAAUAUGUGUUGGUUGCUUAAUGAUAUUUAUCAAAAUAUUACUCUUGGUUGUGUGGAUGUCCAUGAGAAUGCUUAAGGAAUAAAAUGAGGAUCUUUUUUUAAAUUAU